AAGGAGGUGAAUUUAAUGAUGUAUCAUCUUUUGCUCUAGGCACUUCUGGGCCAGUUAUUAACAUUACGUUAAAUAAUAUUACCUGUGACACUAUCACUGUCACUUGGAAUAGUCCUAAGUGUACAUAUAUCCUCUGUGAUAUAUUGUAUUACGAAUUGAAUAUUAAUGACGUUUUAUCGAAUACCAGCAAUACUCAUUAUGAAUUUAAAGAGAAGAAUGUGGACCAUCACAGUUAUGACAUCAGUGUCACUCCAGUUAAUCUACUUGGAAAAGGAAUACCUAACAAUACUACAUGUUUUAAUUAUAAAGUUCCUAGGCCUGCACUAAAUGACACUACUACACUUAAUGUAUCUAAUGGGACUGUUCAGUACAAUAUACUAGUUUUAGUAGUAUGUAAUGGUGAAGCUCCAAAGAAUGCUAU